rnacentral:rRNA from 1 species
AACGCGAAGAACCUUACCAAGGCUUGACAUAUACCGAAAACUCAUAGAGAUAUGGGGUCCGCAAGGGCGGUAUACAGGUGGUGCAUGGUUGUCGUCAGCUCGUGUCGUGAGAUGUUGGGUUAAGUCCCGCAACGAGCGCAACCCUCGUCCUAUGUUGCCAGCACGUGAUGGUGGGGACUCAUAGGAGACUGCCGGGGUCAACUCGGAGGAAGGUGGGGAUGACGUCAAAUCAUCAUGCCCCUUAUGUCUUGGGCUUCACGCAUGCUACAAUGGCCGGUACAAAGGGCUGCGAUACCGCGAGGUGGAGCGAAUCCCAAAAAGCCGGUCUCAGUUCGGAUUGGGGUCUGCAACUCGACCCCAUGAAGUCGGAGUCGCUAGUAAUCGCAGAUCAGCAACGCUGCGGUGAAUACGUUCCCGGGCCUUGUACACACCG